CGUUAGCGGCGGACGGGUGAGUAACACGUGGGUAACCUACCUAUAAGACUGGGAUAACUUAGGGAAACCGGAGCUAAUACCGGAUAAUAUUUCGAACCGCAUGGUUCGAUAGUGAAAGAUGGUUUUGCUAUCACUUAUAGAUGGACCUGCGCCGUAUUAGCUAGUUGGUAAGGUAACGGCUUACCAAGGCGACGAUACGUAGCCGACCUGAGAGGGUGAUCGGCCACACUGGAACUGAGACACGGUCCAGACUCCUACGGGAGGCAGCAGCU
rnacentral:rRNA from 1 species